rnacentral:rRNA from 1 species
GGGAUUGCCCUAGUAACGGCGAGUGAAGCGGCAACAGCUCAAAUUUGAAAUCUGGCUUCGGCCCGAGUUGUAAUUUGUAGAGGAAGCUUUUGGUGAGGCACCUUCUGAGUCCCCUGGAACGGGGCGCCAUAGAGGGUGAGAGCCCCGUAUAGUCGGAUGCCGAUCCAAUGUAAAGCUCCUUCGACGAGUCGAGUAGUUUGGGAAUGCUGCUCAAAAUGGGAGGUAAAUUUCUUCUAAAGCUAAAUACCGGCCAGAGACCGAUAGCGCACAAGUAGAGUGAUCGAAAGAUGAAAAGCACUUUGAAAAGAGGGUUAAAUAGCACGUGAAAUUGUUGAAAGGGAAGCGUUUGUGACCAGACUUGCGCCGUUCCGAUCAUCCGGUGUUCUCACCGGUGCACUCGGGACGGCUCAGGCCAGCAUCGGUUUUGGCGGGGGGACAAAGGUCCUGGGAACGUAGCUCCUCCGGGAGUGUUAUAGCCCAGGGCGUAAUGCCCUCGCCGGGACCGAGGUUCGCGCAUCUGCAAGGAUGCUGGCGUAAUGGUCACCAACGACCCGUCUUGAAACACGGACCAAGGAGUCAAGGUUUUGCGCGAGUGUUUGGGUGUAAAACCCGCACGCGUAAUGAAAGUGAACGUAGGUGAGAGCUUCGGCGCAUCAUCGACCGAUCCUGAUGUAUUCGGAUGGAUUUGAGUAAGAGCGUUAAGCCUUGGACCCGAAAGAUGGUGAACUAUGCUUGGAUAGGGUGAAGCCAGAGGAAACUCUGGUGGAGGCUCGCAGCGGUUCUGACGUGCAAAUCGAUCGUCAAAUCUGAGCAUGGGGGCGAAAGACUAAUCGAACCAUCUAGUAGCUGGUUACCGCCGA